AAAACGACUCUCGGCAACGGAUAUCUCGGCUCUCGCAUCGAUGAAGAACGUAGCGAAAUGCGAUACUUGGUGUGAAUUGCAGAAUCCUGUGAACCAUCGAGUCUUUGAACGCAAGUUGCGCCCGAAGCCAUCCGGCCGAGGGCACGUCUGCCUGGGCGU
rnacentral:rRNA from 1 species